rnacentral:lncRNA from 12 species
GAAAUACUGGAACUGGUGUCUGUAAUGUUCUUCAUCACUGAACUCCAUCCCUGCACCCUGCACAGCCGGUUAGGGCAUGAAAGGACAGAAAAAGCCUGACUAAAGCUGACCUCUGGUCCUGUUGCUGAUCUUCCCCCAAAAUAUGUCUCUGAUCCAUCAGCCUUCCCUCCUCAGAGCUGCUGUGAUAAUUAAGAAGCCUCAAAUCUCAGUAAGUGCAAAGAAGAAGCCAGGCAAGCAGACCUGCCUGGCCCACCCCUGCGUGUCCUGCCAGGCUGACAGCUCCUCACAUAGUGGUAAUUCCUGGGAAGAGUGGCAGCUGUGGAUACAGAUCCAGGGCCACGUCUCC